CAUCUCCUCCACGCCUCUUCAUUUGUUGGUGCGAGCUUCUUUGCUCGUCCGAGUUCUCGGUUUUCCUGUGUUGAAUACCUCUUGCCAUGGCAUCUUGUCGGCUAGAAUUGUCUAUUUCCCAUCUUGUGCUGCUGCGCUCCACGUGGGCAUGCGGUGCGGGGUGGGCCAAACAGCUAUCGUCGUUUGUCCAGCCAGGCUCAUCCAUCAUAGGGUGUUCGGGUUGAUGACCAAUGACGGGACGCUCGGUCUCUCGGAUGCGGAACAUCAUGUUGGUACGGGUCCAUCGGUCCCCGUUUACCACAAAAAAGCGUUCUACGCUUCGUGCGAACGACUGUCGGCCCGUUCUUCGGCCUCGUCCC
rnacentral:misc_RNA from 1 species